UUGUGACCGUUACGAUGGGCAUU
rnacentral:miRNA from 1 species